GCGGGAAUAGCUCAAUUGGUAAAGCAUCAACCUUCCAAGCUGAGGGUUGCGAGUCGAGUCUCGUUUCCCGCU
rnacentral:tRNA from 1 species